CCUACGGGAGGCAGCAGUCGAGAAUCAUUCACAAUGGGGGAAACCCUGAUGGUGCGACGCCGCGUGGGGGAAUGAAGGUCUUCGGAUUGUAAACCCCUGUCAUGUGGGAGCAAAUUAAAAAGAUAGUACCACAAGAGGAAGAGACGGCUAACUCUGUGCCAGCAGCCGCGGUAAUACAGAGGUCUCAAGCGUUGUUCGGAAUCACUGGGCGUAAGGCGUGCGUAGGCUGUUUCGUAAGUCGUGUGUGAAAGGCGCGGGCUCAACCCGCGGACGGCACAUGUUACUGCGAGACUAGAGUAAUGGAGGGGGAACCGGAAUUCUCGGUGUAGCAGUGAAAUGCGUAGAUAUCGAGAGGAACACUCGUGGCGAAGGCGGGUUCCUGGACAUUAACUGACGCUGAGGCACGAAGGCCAGGGGAGCGAAAGGGAUUAGAUACCCCUGUAGUC
rnacentral:rRNA from 1 species